rnacentral:rRNA from 1 species
AUUGAACGCUGGCGGCAUGCCUUACACAUGCAAGUCGAACGGCAGCACGGGCUUCGGCCUGGUGGCGAGUGGCGAACGGGUGAGUAAUACAUCGGAACGUGCCUAGUAGUGGGGGAUAACGCAGCGAAAGCUGUGCUAAUACCGCAUAAGAUCUAAGGAUGAAAGCGGGGGAUCGCUAGACCUCGUGCUAUUAGAGCGGCCGAUGGCAGAUUAGGUAGUUGGUGGGGUAAAGGCUUACCAAGCCUGCGAUCUGUAGCUGGUCUGAGAGGACGACCAGCCACACUGGGACUGAGACACGGCCCAGACUCCUACGGGAGGCAGCAGUGGGGAAUUUUGGACAAUGGGCGCAAGCCUGAUCCAGCAAUGCCGCGUGCAGGAUGAAGGCCUUCGGGUUGUAAACUGCUUUUGUACGGAACGAAAAGCUUCUGGUUAAUACCUGGGGGUCAUGACGGUACCGUAAGAAUAAGCACCGGCUAACUACGUGCCAGCCGCCGCGGUAACAC